GACGAACGCUGGCGGCGUGCCUAAUACAUGCAAGUCGAGCGGACUUGAAGGAGUGCUUGCACUCCUGAGAGUUAGCGGCGGACGGGUGAGUAACACGUAGGCAACCUGCCCUCAAGACUGGGAUAACUACCGGAAACGGUAGCUAAUACCGGGUAAUUUAUUACAUAGCAUUAUGUGAUAAUGAAAGACGGAGCAAUCUGUCACUUGGGGAUGGGCCUGCGGCGCAUUAGCUAGUUGGUGGGGUAACGGCCCACCAAGGCGACGAUGCGUAGCCGACCUGAGAGGGUGAACGGCCACACUGGGACUGAGACACGGCCCAGACUCCUACGGGAGGCAGCAGUAGGGAAUCUUCCGCAAUGGGCGAAAGCCUGACGGAGCAACGCCGCGUGAGUGAUGAAGGUUUUCGGAUCGUAAAGCUCUGUUGCCAAGGAAGAACGUCUCAUAGAGUAACUGCUAUGAGAGUGACGGUACUUGAGAAGAAAGCCCCGGCUAACUACGUG
rnacentral:rRNA from 1 species